ensembl:lncRNA
GGGGCUGUCCUUGGCGAGGACCUUGGGAUUUAUUUUUAGGCCAAAAAGGAAGUUGGUGAAACACAAAAUGUGUUGCUUUAGUUUUGCACUGUCACGCAUGUGGUGACCGAUGGGGAACACACUCGUGGUCUAGGGAUUAAUCACUGCUCUGGAGUUAAUUACAAGUGUAAAAAUACAGGUCAAAUUGGAGCUUUGUUUUAUGGCAGUAGAAAUCCAGAGAGACUGAGAUGUCUACAGAGGUAUCGGUUCUACAGGAACGAGCUUGGACUGGACCCCAGCGCUCAGAUUGCUCCUAAAUGUGGCUCAGCCCCAUCCCUAUGCAAAAGCACCUCAACAACAAGCACAAGCAGGAGAAGACAGGCUGAGGGAGCCCUGACUCAACAGAGCCCUGUUUCAACUCAGUGUUUGCUUUGAGGCUUCGCUCAAUCCACUAAAAUCUGCCUAAUUCCCCCCAUAAUAAACCCCCAUCGAUCCCUGCAGAAGUGCGCAGCGACCAAGCAGAGGGGAAGCACAGAACCAUCCCUGCAGCAUCUCCCUCGUGCUGCCGAAUGAGGAGCAAAGCAUUAAACCUCUUUUUAUUGUCCUUUUCCUUUUAUCCCUCUGUCUGGAUUUCAUCACGGAGGGACCUACCCAGACAUGUUCCUCAGGAGUCUCCCAGCCCCAGUAGCCAUAGAAACCGGCUAUUUUUAGUCUGUUUUCAUGAUGCCAGUAAAUGACUUUUCUCUACUUUGGAGAGACAGAAGACCCCGUCAGCCUUGUGUGGUAAAUGAGCAUCUCCAGCAAGGCGGGCAUCCUCUCCCGUGCACAGACAAUAAACGUGGCAUUUGUAAAUAAGCACCUCUAUCUACGCACAGAGCAGAUUGCUUCCUCCAGUACUUCCUAUGCCAGAGUAGAUAUCUAUAAGGAUUUUUAGAGUAUGGAUUUUAUAGACGUUCAGAGAUCAGGGUUCUUUGGGUACAUGAUGAGCUUCCUCCUUUCCUUAGCCUCUUCUUCAAAAGAGCUCCUGAUCCAUGUUACCCGUGGUUGGCAAUGUGAUCAAUGAGGGUAAGAGCAAUACUCGGAGCAUAACUCGGCCCCACAGCAAUGCCUUUACUCUGGGAUCGCAGCAAGACUCACAGCCAGACGUGGAAAAAACACAUUUGUCUGGGGAAUUAUUUGGCUACACACUAAUGAGCAACCCGGGUAAUGCAGCAGGCUGGGAGCUGGGGCAGAGCAGCAUCGCCCUGGAGUGUUCUCUUAAACCAUCGUCUCCCGGGAUGUUCCCCCUUCCCAAAGGCCAGAUUCGGCCCAUGGGGACAAUUCCCCUGCCCUCCUCGGGGGUAUCAACGCUGGGGAUGCAGGAGCAUCCCUGUAUCCUCCAGGACCAGCAAACCUCUCAUCGCCAGCGGAGACGAUGGGCACGGUUUCCUUUUAAUGCCUGCCAGGUACGCUGGAGCUGUAAAUACCCCGAGCCCGACGGCUCCUGCGGGCACGGAUCUCGUUUACAAGGUUGUCCUAUAAAUUAUAGAUGCAAAUCAUGGCUGCGGUCUGCACCCAGAGACUCGCCUAUUGAUCUGUCUCCCGCUGGUUGCUGUUGGGACCGCCACAGCCCUGCGUAUGGAGGCAGCGGGCUGUAGAGGGUCAUUUGUCCGUCUGUCCAUCUGCACUUGGACCAAGCACUUUCCCUGUCCGAGCACGCAGGGGAGCAGCGAUGGGGCUGUUGUAAUAAAUCAGCUUGAUGAUA